rnacentral:rRNA from 1 species
GGAGGUAGUGACAAUAAAUCACAAUGCGGGACUAUACGUCUUGCAAUUGGAUUGAGAACAACGUACAACUCUUAUCGAUAAGCCAUUGGAGGGCAAGUCUGGUGCCAGCAGCCGCGGUAAUUCCAGCUCCAAUAGCGUAUAUUAACGUUGUUGCAGUUAAAAAGCUCGUAGUUGAAGUGAGGGAGUGUGUAGUAGGACCGACUUGAUCGGAACUGCUGCAACCUCCCCCCUCCAAUCGGUGUAGUGGGGUAUUCAGUUAUUCUACUACUCCUUUGGUCGUUUACUGUGAGAAAAUUAGAGUGUUCAAAGCGGGCGUUUGUUUGAAUAGAUUAGCAUGGAAUAAUGAUUGAAGGCUUUCGUGUUCGAUUUGAUUGGUUUGUUCAUGGAAGCAAGGUUAAAAGGAACAGUUGGGGGUAUUCAUAUUCACUAGUUAGAGGUGAAAUUCUCGGAUUUAUGGAAGAUGAACAAGUGCGAAAGCA